AGCGAACGCUGGCGGCAGGCCUAACACAUGCAAGUCGAACGAUCCUUCGGGAUAGUGGCGGACGGGUGAGUAACACGUGGGAACGUACCUUUAGGUUCGGGAUAACUCAGGGAAACUUGAGCUAAUACCGGAUGUGCCCUUCGGGGGAAAGAUUUAUCGCCUUUAGAGCGGCCCGCGUUAGAUUAGCUAGUUGGUGAGGUAAAGGCUCACCAAGGCUCCGAUCUAUAGCUGGUCUGAGAGGAUGAUCAGCCACACUGGGACUGAGACACGGCCCAGACUCCUACGGGAGGCGGCAGUGGGGAAUCUUGCGCAAUGGGCGAAAGCCUGACGCAGCCAUGCCGCGUGAAUGAUGAAGGUCUUAGGAUUGUAAAAUUCUUUUAGCAGGGACGAUAAUGACGGUACCUGCAGAAAAAGCCCCGGCUAACUUCGUGCCAGCCGCCGCGGUAA
rnacentral:rRNA from 1 species